rnacentral:lncRNA from 1 species
CCAGCCUGGCUCGCGAGACUAGGGAAGUAUGGAGUAGGCGAUAGUAGGGCAUCGCUAGUCUCGCUAGCUAGACCAUUCCCCAGCCCAGGGCAUCACAGUUCGAUCACUUUAGCAGCCAUACCACUUCUCUGGACCAAAAUGCCGAAUUUUUGUUGACUGUUACAACAGUACUGUAAGCCUACAUUUCACUUGAUCCAUCAGAGUUUUCACUGAACUGAAUAAUUCACGUUAAAAAUUUUGUGUUGUUCACUGAUUGAAUUUCUCACAGCUAAGAGUUUUAAUUUUGACCAUUUAUGGAAGGAUCAAUGUGGAACACCUGUUUUGCACCAGAGGCUACAAUUCCUCGUACAUAAAUUUUUGACAGUUCUUUUUAUUAAUGGACCGACUCAUAAAUUUUCUUUGUAUAUAGGUACACUGCAUUAUAACUGAUGGAAUUGUGUACAGCUAAUGUACAUGUGUAACAUUUCAUUAUAAAUUUGGUUUACUUCUUAGAGCCAAUUCAGAGUACACAUUAAAAGUGCCAUCCAAGUUUGACACUGUGAGUAGUACAAAUGUUCUGCCUACGAUCAGACUUCCGAUGUCCAAGUGAACAUUUCUUAUCUUAUGUAGAGGCAAUUAAAUAUAAUUAAUGCCACAAGCAAAACAAGUAGGAGUGUGCUGAUGAUGAAGAAAAAAGGAAGAAAGUGGGAGAAACGCUUUAUGAAUAAAGAAUGAAGUAAUGAUCAGCUAUCAAAUACCAUGGUGACACCACUUAAAGUGAACUAAUCAAUAUUAUUUCAUCUGCCUCAUUAUUUCAACGGUCUAGUCAGGCCUAGGCCAACUCUAUAUGUUCAUAGUCAGGCUACUACUCUGCAUACUACUCUACUGAUCAGAAACUUGAUUAAUGAACUCUCUACCAAACUCUCCCAGAGUUUUAACAGUGAACUGAUUUCGUAUUGAACAAGCUUAGUACUUACUUUUUUUAUUUUUGGUUUUAUAAAUAGUUUACAUGUUUACUAUAACUGAUACAGAUAUGUCCUUAUAAUGUGAAUUAUUCUUUCAUUUAUAGUGAUCACUUGUAAUGCA